rnacentral:rRNA from 1 species
GCACAAGCGGUGGAUCAUGUUGUUUAAUUCGAUGAUACGCGAAGAACCUUACCAGGUCUUGACAUCCCCCGCGAUGCUCUAGAGAUAAAGCGGAGGUAUUCGGGGAGACAGGUGGUGCAUGGUUGUCGUCAGCUCGUGUCGUGAGAUGUUGGGUUAAGUCCCGCAACGAGCGCAACCCCUAUUGCUAGUUACCAUCAUUAAGUUGGGGACUCUAGCGAGACUGCCAGUGAUAAACUGGAGGAAGGUGGGGAUGACGUCAAAUCAUCAUGCCCCUUAUGACCUGGGCUACAAACGUGAUACAAUGGCUGGAACAAAGGGAUGCGAAGCAGUGAUGUGGAGCGAAACCCAUAAAAACAGUCUCAGUUCGGAUUGAAGUCUACAACUCGACUUCAUGAAGUCGGAAUCGCUAGUAAUCGCGGAUCAGAACGCCGCGGUGAAUACGUUCUCGGGGUUU